AAAAAAAUAAUAAGCCACUAAUAUAAACGGACAGUUCGUUAAACCGUACAUAUUAUAAUUUUCAGUUCAUCGGAGUGAGAUGAUUAGAUGGAGAUGGAUGAAGAUAGCUGUUUCUUCGGCGAUGGCGGCACUCUAGCUACGUUUCACCGGAAGAGUAGAUGUUUACGAAGUCGUCGCAGAAGACACAUUCAACUAAAAAUUCUAAAAUUUCAAUAAGCAAAGAAGAUAUUCCAAGUUCUGUAUUCUGGAGCGUUUCCUCAUCGGCGUCGCAGUUCACACACGUCACGGAUACCGCCGAAAGAGUCGAUAAUUCAGACUGAACUUUUGGAUCGGAGAUAUGAAGACGCGCGCUGCAUUUUCCUUGGCGGAGAUGCACAGCUCUGACACUAGACAAUAUUAUACACUCGAAGGGAACGCGUUUCGCCGGAAGAAUAAAUAAUUACAAAUGGUAUUCGUCAGUGAACAUUUUCAAACUGGGAAUAAUAUAUCAUAAGCAGAUUGAAAUGUGUGAACGUUUCAGUGUUUCGAAGACUAAGUUUCGUAGCAGAUUUCGAUUCCGUCACGGGAUGUACUAUACAUAACAAAAAUGACAUGUGUCACGUCCGUCCGGUAGUAUUAUCAGUCUCAUCCGUACACGUGAAGAAAUUUAUUUAUGAGAGAGCUUCCGACAACUUUUUUACGUCGACCGUCCAUACUUCACUGACUACUGGUCUAUUUUCCGACUUUACUGGUUGUAGAAUGAACAAUAACGUGAAAUAAACUUAAAUCGAUUAAAAAGAAAAUCACUAAAUGGUACACUCAGCCCAAUGCCUCCAGACGAUCCGAAAUCAUCAAUACCAGAACAAGAAUCGGCCAUACCAAUCUCACCCAUAUUCACAUCAUAAAACAUGAAGAACAACCUCUCUGUAGCCAAUGUAACGAACCUCUCUCAAUCAAACAUGUAGUCUUAGACUGCCCGCUAUAUGUCAACGAAAGAAACAUCCUCAACCAACCAUCAACGAUGGAGGAAGCUCUAGGAGAACACAACACGCACUUGAUCCAUACCUUCUUCAAAUCCAUCGGCAUUGACACAAAAAUUUAAUGUAAAGAUAGAACUACACUGCUAAAAAUAUAAUGUAAAUAUACAAUAUCACUGUAAAAUCCAUAUAUACCACAAUUGUAACGUAAAAUUAAUUUAGAAUUUAGUUAUUUAUUUGUAUAUUCACUAAUUAAUGACAAUGUAACCACAACCACAGGCUAAUGACCUAGCUGUUGAAGCCUUUAAUACCAAUAAAAAAAAAAAAAAAAAUAACGUGAAACCUUGUUUUUAAUUCACCAUUUCUUAGCUAUGAAAAUUGAAAACAUUAUAAUUUCUGAAUUAUUUAGACUAGGUGCUUAUCGUGUAAGCAGACCAAAAAAAAAAAAAACACACACACAUCAAGUGUAAUAUCAAUACAUUCAUUGAUCCACUCAGAAUCUAAAAUCAUUUGAGUAUACAAUUUUGAUUUCACGUAAAAACGUUUUGUCCCUGUUAA